rnacentral:rRNA from 1 species
ACCCGCACAAGCAGCGGAGCGUGUGGUUUAAUUCGUUGCUACACGAAGAACCUUUACCUGGGUUUGACAUAUAGGUUGUAGGGAACUGAAAAGGACCGACCUUCGGGAGCCUAUACAGGUGUUGCAUGGCUGUCGUCAGCUCGUGUCGUGAGAUGUUCGGUUAAGUCCGCUAACGAGCGCAACCCUCGUCGUAUGUUAUAUGUGUCAUACGAGACUGCCGGUAAAAGCCGGAGGAAGGUGAGGAUGAUGUCAAGUCAGCAUGACCUUUAUAUCCAGGGCUACACACACGCUACAAUGGUCUGUACAAUGGGUAGCCAAGCCGCGAGGCGGAGCCAAUCCCAGAAAGCCGAUCGUAGUCCGGAUUGUUCUCUGCAGCUCGAGAGCAUGAAGUCGGAAUCGCUAGUAAUCGCGGAUCAGCAUGUCGCGGUGAAUACGUUCCCGGGUCUU